AUUGAACGCUGGCGGCAUGCUUUACACAUGCAAGUCGAACGGUAGCGGGGAAGAAGCUUGCUUCUUCUGCCGACGAGUGGCGAACGGGUGAGUAAUAUAUCGGAACGUGCCAAGUAAUGGGGGAUAACUAUCCGAAAGGAUGGCUAAUACCGACAUACGCUCUACGGAGGAAAGCAGGGGAUCUUCGGACCUUGCGUUAUUUGAGCGGCCGAUAUCUGACUAGCUAGUUGGUGGGUAAAGCCGUACCAAGGCAACGAUCAGUAGCGGGUCUGAGAGGAUGAUCCGCCACACUGGGACUGAGACACGGCCCAGACUCCUACGGGGAGCAGCAGGGUGGGGGAAUUUUGGGACAAUGGGCGGAAANCCUGAUCCAGUCAUGCCGCGUGUAUG
rnacentral:rRNA from 1 species